rnacentral:rRNA from 1 species
GACGAACGCUGGCGGCGUGCUUAACACAUGCAAGUCGAACGGAAAGGCCCUGCUUUUGUGGGGUGCUCGAGUGGCGAACGGGUGAGUAACACGUGAGUAACCUGCCCUUGACUUUGGGAUAACUUCAGGAAACUGGGGCUAAUACCGGAUAGGAGCUCCUGCUGCAUGGUGGGGGUUGGAAAGUUUCGGCGGUUGGGGAUGGACUCGCGGCUUAUCAGCUUGUUGGUGGGGUAGUGGCUUACCAAGGCUUUGACGGGUAGCCGGCAUGAGAGGGUGACCGGCGACAUUGGGACUGAGAUACGGAGCAGACUGCUACGGGAGGCAGCAGUGGGGAGUAUUGCACAGUGGGCGGAAGCCUGAUGCAGCAACGCCGGGUGCGGGAUGACGGCCUUCGGGUUGUGAACCGCUUUCGCCUGUGACGAAGCGUGAGUGACGGUAAUGGGUAAAGAAGCACCGGCUAACUACGUG